rnacentral:rRNA from 1 species
GAUAAACGCUGGCGGCGUGCCUAACACAUGCAAGUCGAACGCCCUCUCGCAAGAGAGGGAGUGGCGGACGGGUGAGUAGCACGUGGGUACCUACCGUGAGGUGAGGAAUACCACCGAGAAAUCGGUGACAAGACCGCAUACGCUCUUCACAGAGCAAAGUCACGCAAGUGACGCCACACGAUGGGCCUGCGUCUGAUUAGCUGGUUGGUGGGGUAAAAGCCUACCAAGGCGACGAUCAGUAGCUGGUCUGAGAGGAUGAUCAGCCACACUGGGAUUG